UACAGAGGUCCCAAGCGUUGUUCGGAUUCAUUGGGCGUAAAGGGUGCGUAGGCGGCGCGGUAAGUCGGGUGUGAAAUCCUGGAGCUUAACUCCGAAACUGCAUUCGAUACUGCGGUGCUUGAGGACUGGAGAGGAGACUGGAAUUUACGGUGUAGCAGUGAAAUGCGUAGAGAUCGUAAGGAAGACCAGUGGCGAAGGCGGGUCUCUGGACAGUUCCUGACACUGAGGCACGAAGGCCAGGGGAGCAAACGGG
rnacentral:rRNA from 1 species